rnacentral:rRNA from 1 species
UACGAAGGGGGCUAGCGUUGCUCGGAUUUAUUGGGCGUAAAGGGCGCGUAGGCGGCUCGGCACGUCCGUUGUGAAAUCGCCCGGCUCAACUGGGCGGGGUCAGCGGAUACGGUCGAGCUUGAGCAAGCUAGGGGGUAAUGGAAUUCCCGGUGUAGUGGUGGAAUGCGUAGAUAUCGGGAGGAACACCAGUGGCGAAGGCGGUUACCUGGGGCUUUGCUGACGCUGAUGCGCGAAGGCGUGGGGAGCGAUCCGG